ensembl:antisense Gm11973 predicted gene 11973
GCGGCCGCGCUGGUUCUCCUUGAGGUCCAGGUAGUACUUGCGGUUCUCGCGCACCAGGAACUCGCUCUUGAGCGCGCGGCGCAGCCCGCCGCCCUCCUCGGCGCCCGCCGCCAGCUGCUCGGGGCUGCUGGGACCCAGCUGCGCGUAGUGCUCGAUGAAGUCGCCCAGCGAGUCGCGGAACUCGGCGGCCACCGCCAUCGACAGCGUGAGGCGGCUCUUGGAGCCGCCCGCGCCCACCUCGGCGAUCUUGAGGAAGCGGCCCUUGGCGUUCUGCUUCACGUCCAGGAUCAGAAAAGAAGUCCACCCAAGCCUUGCGAUACCUCAGUACUGCUCUGUCCUCAGAGUACAAAAAGAGGACCCAGGUUCGAGUCUCAGAAGACACACACGGCAGCCCAUAGCCAUGUAUAAUUCCAGUUCCAGGGGAUCCAGCACCCUCCUCUGGCCUUCUUGAGCACCUGCACACACAUG